rnacentral:lncRNA from 1 species
ACAGCCUGGAGUUCUGGCAUUGUAUCAGUUGAUCUCAAGCUGUGAGGGCCUCAGAGGAGAGGGACAGCCCAGAGAAGGCUGGUGGGGCAAUAACUAAGUAAAGACUGGUGACCUCGGAGUCAACACAUCUCAAAGAGCUGGCAGAAUAACUUCCACCUAUCACAAGGACAGUGUCAGCAGGUAAUCAUGGGGUAGGUGGCUACCAUGGACAUCGGAGGCCCCAGAGCAAGAGGUGGUGUACCAGAUACAUCACAUGCAUUAUCUCAUUGCUGUCAAGCGGCACUUGUGACGAAUCGAUCUGAAUGUAUUGAGGCGAAUGACAUAGCCACACAGAAUACCAUGUGGAAGAAAGGAACAGAGCCAAGUCGUUCUGGAAACAGAAUCCCAACCCAACCUGGUAAGACCAAAGACAAAAGAAUGUACAGUAAACUCAGGCUGUUGUUGGCAAGCUUUU